rnacentral:lncRNA from 1 species
CCUGCUCUCCAUCAUGUGAGGAUAAAGCAAGAAGACAGCCUUCUGCAAACUAGGAGGAGAGUCCUCACCAGAACCUGGCCAUGCUGGCACACUUCUCUCAAACUUCACAGCUUCCUCAAAUAUGAGAAAUAACUUCUGUUGUUCAAUUCACCCAGUCUAUGGCGAUUGGUUAUGACAGCCUGAGCUAACAAAGACAGGAGCCCUGGGGCUGAGGGUCACAUUCAGCUUCUCCUCUCAGCCAACUUCUAACUAGGUCCCUGAGUGGGCUGGAUGCUUUUCCCACCCAUACAAGGGCAACCAUUAGCUUCUGGACACCCUGGCUGUGGGACAGAUGAAGGAGGAAAUGGUGUUGCAUGUUUCAAACUGUACCCCAACCCUAGAUGAGGUGAUAUGCCCAGCAUCUUCACAGGAUUCCUUUGAAACACCCACUUCGCUGGUAAUUACAGUUUAGUAUCUGUCUUCCUUGCUAAAUCAUGAGCUUCUCAAGGGCAGGACUGAGUCCCUUGUUCACUGUGUGUCUGCAGCACUCAGCUCAAUGUCUUGUACAUAAAUAUGUGUUAAAUUAAUCAAUAGUUAACAAAAUGUUAAAAUGGAACUCUUUCUGUUCCCAAAGUCUAGAAUCAAAAAGGUGAUUAGUAUCUCUAAGUUCCAGAGAGAGAGACAAUGGAUCAAAUGUGUGGGGCUCACCUAAAUGUGUGAGGUCACCUAAACUGCUUUUGCCACCUGUACUGUAAUAGUUCUAUUUAGGCCCUCAGUUGAUUGGUUGAUGCUCUUCUACAUUGGUGAGGCAGAUUGUCUGUACUCAGUCUACUGAUUCAAAUGCUAAUCUCUUCCAGAAACAUCCUCACAGAUAUACCCAGAAAUAAUGUUUUACCAGCUAUCCGAGGAUGUAUCAAAGCAUCCUUCAGCCCAGUCGAGUUGACACAUACACUUAACCAUCCCAAGGGGAUUUGAGGCAGAAGCCUUUUCAUGUCUUUCCUGGAAAUCACAGAAGUAGAGGACUGCUGGGGUGCAAUAUAAGACCUGGGUUCAAAUCUGCUCAUUCUCCAUCUAGUUGUGCAAGCAAGGACAAGUCACUUCUCUGAACACACUGCUCAUCAUCAGGAAGAUGGGAAUAAUGAGAGCUUGUCUUUCAGAGCUGUUUCAAAACUUAGAGAGUUGUAAAAAGUGCUCAGUACAGAGUAGGCAUUCAAUAAAGGAUAGUGGCAAUAAUAACAACAAUAAGACUGCUAUUGUUAUUCCCCGUUCUGAGAAAACCACCUUGCAUUUAAUAGAUGUUCAAUGAAUUAUUCUGGCUGAGUUAAUUUUCUUUUGAUACUCAAAAACAGGAAUGUCCUGACUGCAGACAAAAAGGCUCACUCAAUUAACUCCAUGUUUUGAAGUGUCAAUAAGGGCAGAAAAAAGGCAUUUCUUUGCUUCUUGUUUUUAUGAUCUCAUCAUCUGCUAUGGUUUUUAGAUGGGAAAAUGUGAUUGUCAAUUAAGAAUCUGAAAAAGUGUUCCCUUUAUUAAAAGACACACACACAAAACAUAAGCACCAUAUUUCACACUGAAUCGGAGCUGCUGCUGGCUAGCUGAAAUUUACUGCCUCAUGUCCCAGCAAAGAGAAUUUGCAGCUGGAUUAAUGCCCCUUUCUCUGGUAGUGAAUCAAUUUUGUACAUAUGGCCAUAUUUUCACCCAAGUGAUAGGCAGCAAUGGCUGCUAUUUUGUAGUCACUGUAGGAAAACUCAGGGGUACCUCCCAAGAAAGGCACUUUGAGCAUCCUCCAUGAAUAAUGUAGCAUCAUGACAUUUUCUGGGGAGAGGCAUUUUAGCAAGUCCAGCUUGGUCAUUUCAAAAAUGGGAAAACUGAGAUGGGGCCUUAGCAAAGCACAUACGCUCCUCUCCAUCAGGCUGGGUUCCUCAUUUCCUCUUUGCAUCCCACAUUCUGGGAAUGCCGGGCUUCUUCCUUCCUGGCCUCAUGCACCCCUUCCUCUGCCUGGCCUGGCUGCAUUGUGACUCUUCCUGGGGUUCUUCUGUUGUCCCUCAGCGGAGGAGUUGUAUUUGUUUGUUCUCAUGCUGCUAAUAAAGACAUACCCAAGACUGGGUAAUUUAAAAGAAAAAGAGGUUUAAUGGUCUCACAAUUCCACAUGGCUGAGGAAACCUCACAAUCAUGGCAGAAGGCAAAUAAGGAGCAAAGUCAUGUCUUACAUGGUGGCAGGCAAGAAAGCGUGUACAGAACGGCCCUUUAUAAAACCAUCAGAUCUCAUGAGACUUAUUCACUAUCACAAGAACGGCAUGGGAAAAACCUGUCCCCAUGACUCAAUUACCUCCCAACAGGUCCC